UACGGAGGGUGCGAGCGUUGUCCGGAAUCAUUGGGCGUAAAGGGCGCGUAGGUGGCGGCUUAAGCGUGCGGUGAAAGCUCGGGGCUCAACCCCGAGUCGGCCGUGCGAACUGAGUCGCUUGAGCACUGUAGAGGCAGGCGGAAUUCCGGGUGUAGCGGUGGAAUGCGUAGAGAUCCGGAAGAACACCGGUGGCGAAGGCGGCCCGCUGGGCUGUUGCUGACGCUGAGGCGCGACAGCGUGGGGAGCAAACAGG
rnacentral:rRNA from 1 species